rnacentral:rRNA from 1 species
GACAGAGGGUGCAAACGUUGCUCGGAAUCAUUGGGCGUAAAGCGCACGUAGGCGGUUCGUUAUGUCGGAUGUGAAAGCCCUUGGCUUAACCGAGGAAGUGCAUCCGAAACUGGCGAGCUAGAGUACUAAAGAGGAUCGCGGAAUUCCCGGUGUAGAGGUGAAAUUCGUAGAUAUCGGGAAGGAACACCGGUGGCGAAGGCGGCGAUCUGGGUAGAUACUGACGCUGAGGUGCGAAAGCGUGGGGAGCGAACAGG